GAUGAACGCUGGCGGCGUGCUUAACACAUGCAAGUCGAACGAUGAACCGGGUGCUUGCACUCGGGGAUUAGUGGCGAACGGGUGAGUAACACGUGAGCAACCUGCCCCUGACUCUGGGAUAAGCGCUGGAAACGGCGUCUAAUACUGGAUAUGUCCCGUCACCGCAUGGUGUGCGGGUGGAAAGAUUUUUCGGUUGGGGAUGGGCUCGCGGCCUAUCAGCUUGUUGGUGAGGUAAUGGCUCACCAAGGCGUCGACGGGUAGCCGGCCUGAGAGGGUGACCGGCCACACUGGGACUGAGACACGGCCCAGACGCCUACGGGAGGCAGCAGUGGGGAAUAUUGCACAAUGGGCGGAAGCCUGAUGCAGCAACGCCGCGUGAGGGAUGACGGCCUUCGGGUUGUAAACCUCUUUUAGCAGGGAAGAAGCGAGAGUGACGGUAUCUGCAGAAAAAGCACCGGCUAACUACGUGCCAGCCGCCGCGGUAA
rnacentral:rRNA from 1 species